rnacentral:rRNA from 1 species
UACGAAGGGGGCUAGCGUUGUUCGGAAUUAAUGGGCGUAAAGCGCGUGUAGGCGGGCCGUUAAGUCGGGGGUGAAAGCACAGAGCUCAACUCUGGAAUUGCCUUCGAUACUGGAGGCCUGGAGCAUGAUAGAGGCGAGUGGAAUUGCGAGUGUAGAGGUGAAAUUCGUAGAUAUUCGCAGGAACACCAGUGGCGAAGGCGACUCGCUGGAUCAUUGCUGACGCUGAGACGCGAAAGCGUGGGGAGCAAACAGG